GCCGCGGAUGAGGAAGAAUGGGCAAGACAAACAGCCUGGUGAGAAAGGCUCGAAGGAGAUUAAGCAAAGGGAGGAAACGGGGGUCAGCAAAGGAAAGGAGGGGUGCCGAAAGGAGGACAAUGAUGCAAAAAGCACGAGGAAGGAAAGAGGAAUGAAAUGAACUUCUCCAAUUAUUUAGGCCACUUAAGCCCUGCAAGCUCGAAUUCAGAUGCAAUCAACAACCGAUGGACAGAAUCAAGUCUCCACCUUACAUUCUUUUUGAUAAUCAGUUUCACUCAGAGAUGCUAUCGUCUGAUUGUUGCCUAAUGAAUAGGCCAUGUCUGAGUGCAAAGAUCCUGCUGUACCCUAAGAUGGAUCGAACACCUGGACCUAAAAGAAAGAUAUAACAUCAGUGUCAUCACAGCCUACGAUUGUAUAACCAAGCCAUCUGCAUUACGUUUGAAGUGUGCUGUUUUCAAAAGUCUGGUUUAUGUGAAUAAAAUAAACUGACGUU